rnacentral:tRNA from 1 species
GCCUGGGUGGCUCAGUCGGUUGAGCGUCUGACUUCGGCUCAGGUCGUGAUCUCGAGGUCCGUGAGUUCGAGCCCCGCGUCGGGCU